rnacentral:rRNA from 1 species
GAAGCACCUUUGGAAAGGAGAGUCAAAAAAGCACGUGGAAAUUGUUGAAAGGGAAGCGCUUGCAGCCAGAACUUGCCCGUAGUUGCUCAUCCAGGCUUCUGCCUGGUGCACUCUUCUGCGGGCAGGCCAGCAUCAGUCUGGGCGGUUGGAUAAAGACUCUGGGAAUGUGGCUCCUCUCGGGGAGUGUUAUAGCCCAGAGUGCCAUGCAGCCAGCCCAAACUGAGGUCCGCGCAUCUGCUAGGAUGCUGGCGUAAUGGCUGUAAGCGGCCCGUCUUGAAACACGGACCAAGGAGUCUAACAUCUAUGCGAGUGUUUGGGUGUCAAGCCCGGGCGCGUAAUGAAAGUGAACGGAGGUGGGAACCCUUUGGGGCGCACCAUCGACCGAUCCUGAUGUCUUCGGAUGGAUUUGAGUAAGAGCAUAGCUGUUGGGACCCGAAAGAUGGUGAACUAUGCCUGAAUAGGGUGAAGCCAGAGGAAACUCUGGUGGAGGCUCGCAGCGGUUCUGACGUGCAAAUCGAUCGUCAAAUUUGGGCAUAGGGGCGAAAGACUAAUCGAACUAUCUAGUAGCUGGUUCCUGCCGAAGUUUCCCUCAGGAUAGCAGUAACGUCUUCAGUUUUAUGAGGUAGAGCGAAUGAUUAGAGGCCUGGGGGUUGAAACAACCUUCACCUAUUCUCAAACUUCGAAUAUGUAAGAAGUCCUUGUUACUUAAUUGAACGUGGACAUUUGAAUGUAUCGUUACUAGUGGGCCAUUUUUGGUAAGCAGAACUGGCGAUGCGGGAUGAACCGAACGCGGGGUUAAGGUGCCAGAAUGCACGCUCAUCAGACACCACAAAAGGUGUUAGUUCAUCUAGACAGCAGGACGGUGGCCAUGGAAGUCGGAAUCCGCUAAGGAGUGUGUAACAACUCACCUGCCGAAUGAACUAGCCCUGAAAAUGGAUGGCGCUCAAGCGUGCUACCCAUACCCCGCCGCCAGGGCAGACUUUAUGCCCUGGCGAGUAGGCAGGCGUGGAGGUCCGUGACGAAGCCUUGGGGUGACCCCCAGUUACCCCA